rnacentral:rRNA from 1 species
GAUGAACGCUGGCGGCGUGCCUAAUACAUGCAAGUCGAGCGAACGGACGAGAAGCUUGCUUCUCUGAUGUUAGCGGCGGACGGGUGAGUAACACGUGGAUAACCUACCUAUAAGACUGGGAUAACUUCGGGAAACCGGAGCUAAUACCGGAUAAUAUUUUGAACCGCAUGGUUCAAAAGUGAAAGACGGUCUUGCUGUCACUUAUAGAUGGAUCCGCGCUGCAUUAGCUAGUUGGUAAGGUAACGGCUUACCAAGGCAACGAUGCAUAGCCGACCUGAGAGCGUGAUCGGCCACACUGGAACUGAGACACGGUCCAGACUCCUACGGGAGGCAGCAGUAGGGAAUCUUCCGCAAUGGGCGAAAGCCUGACGGAGCAACGCCGCGUGAGUGAUGAAGGUCUUCGGAUCGUAAAACUCUGUUAUUAGGGAAGAACAUAUGUGUAAGUAACUGUGCACAUCUUGACGGUACCUAAUCAGAAAGCCACGGCUAACUACGUG